UGCUGACCUCACCGCAACUACUGAACUACGGUUCAAAACGCUCGUGCUCUCCGGGCUGAACCUGCGCAUGGACUGAAUGAAAGUACCAGAGUCCCCUUGCAGCAUUUUCCUGAUGGUUUGACGCACAUGGUUCACUGUGAGAUAGCCAAGCCCUGCAGGUCUCAGGCUUAUCAAAACACAGCUCCAAACUCAUAUCAGAGUUUCCACUGAGGAAGUGUGGCCAUGAAAACAGAUACCAGGGAUGGGGAAAGCAACUGUGAAACUGCAGAUACAAGCACUCCCUAGAAGAGCUCAGCAGUUCACUCAGCAAUUAAAAAGACAUCAGGAACCACAGAAGGGCACUUGCUUUGGAGACUCCAACUGGAAGCUUUGAGACAAACUAGACGCACUUUUACCGAAGACUUACUCAGCAGAAUAGAGUCAAAAUUGUCAUUUUUGGGCAAACACUUCAGAAUGAGCAUGCACGUGAGCUCCUGGACCUCGGCUGUGUAGGUGAGUUGCUCGUAUAUUAUUGCUGAAUUCAAACUAAAUUCUCAGAGCUGUCAUCUUGCAGUUGGGCAAAUAAAUAAAUCAUUAGCGGACAAGGCAGCAACCCUGGGCCCAAAUCCAAUUUUGAAUCAAAGUCAGAUGAACUUUCUUCAGCAAAGCAGUCUUUUCUUAAGCAGUCUGAAUGGAAAAACCUUGACAGAUAGAUCUUUGUGCAGGUCAGAGGUCAGGGUGUCAACAAUGUGCUACAGUUUAAAAGCGAAAGGAGCCAUUUUGCCUAACGGCUGACUUUUUUUGUGUGAAUUGGUUUGCAAAAAGUUACAGAAGUGUGUUUGAUGUAAACUGAUGCUGAAACAAGGCCCUGCCAUGUCAUCAUACUUCUCCAAACACUCUUUGCCUUAAGCGCAGCAUGCAAGGCUUUGAGUACAGCAGUCAGCAUGCGUGUUUGUCUUUCAUAUGUUUCCGUUUAACGAUGUGAUCUUAAGUGUGCAUAAAAGCAGGUUGCUCGCAGGCCCUUUGGCCCAUUAUGCUCUGCGUUUCCAGAUGAAUGCUUCCCGUUCAGAGAUGAAAUGCUGUGAAAACCACACCAGUCCACAUGACUGCUGCUGCCUUUUGUAUAAACCUCAUGAGGAAGAAGCAGUUUUAAUCCUGAAUUGUCAAGAUGGGUUUUGAUACAAAAUUCCUGAUUCAAUUUUGAUUCCAAAUUCAUUCUGAUCGGAUUUUGAUCAAUUUGGAUAUUUCAGUUAUAAUAUUCAUUUUACCUGAAUAUGAAAGAAUAUUUUUCUUUGCUAAAGUAAAUUAUACAGGACACUGUUUCAGACUGACUCAAAGAAGUACUAUUCAUUUAAAGGACCAACUGUUUAUAAAUUAUACCAUGUUGGUUGGUGUUGUAUGUUUGUUUUUGCAAUCUGCAAGCACAACUGUAGAAAGAUGGAUGCAUGGUCUUUUUAUUGAAUAAAAUAUGGUAAAAUGGGAUUUAAUUUGUCAUGGUCUUGCCCAAAACUAUUGUCUUGUAUUACAAAAAUAAGUUCCUUCCAGCAGAUUUAACAAAUAGCAUGGUAAACUGUUAAAAAUCAAAAAGGACCUUUCUUUUUUCUGUUGUCAUGUUACUGUUUCCAGAUUCACACUUGUAGUGUCAUCAUUUAUGUUAAGCGUUUUUAAGUUCAG